rnacentral:snoRNA from 1 species
UGGUGUCUGUGAUGUUCCUACACUACCUACAUUGUUUGAUCCUCAUGAGAACAGCAUUGCCUGAGACUCCA